CAGUUGGCCACGCGACGCUCAACGCGAACGGUCGUGUGCGGAUUUUCUCUCACUCUUUCUUGUGCGCGACCUUUUUCCUAUCACUCUAUUACUACUUUUCCGGGGUUUUCCACCCACCCUAAAUUUUUCAUUGUUUCUUCUGUGUGGUGAUUAGAGGGGGGAAAAGUUUUUGCUGAGUUUUCUUAUUUUUUCGUCUUGGGAAAGUGCCGGCGAUUUUCGGCUCUGGAAAAUGGUGCCUUUCUUUGUUAGACGGUGAUAUAGUGAUAACAACAAAGUUACAAACUCCAAGAAGCCCGAAUUGGAUUGAUUUGAGCGAAAAGCUGUGCGAUUAUUGCGAAAAAGUUGAUACUUUGUUUCAGUGGAGCAAAGCGGGCUGAAAAAGAAAUUGUGUCACCAAGUUGCCUGAAGGAUCCGGCACAAGCACACACAAGACAUAUUCCAGUGAAUCCUUGUGUCAUAUCCUUUUCAAGUUUUUUCCCCCUCUGCAAACACAUAAUUCCGUUGGUGCACGAGCAAACAGUAGCAGCUGUGAUAUCAGGGGACUUGUGCCGAAUCCGACUUCCCGCUGGAAUACCCGCCGAUGGGAUGUAGUGUCGCACUUUGGUGUUGUUCGAGUCUCGGGACAAAUCACCCGGCUGAUGAUAGUGAUAGAGAGAUCUUCGAGAGACUCUUCAAAGGACGCACAAUCAACAGCGAAAAGAGUCCGUAAUCUUGUUUGCUAUACGCGUCAGUCAAUGGCACCAACGUCGUUGUUGUCGCAAAUUAGGUUGUUUGCCUUCCAGCGUUGAUACCGGCAAGCUAUAGUUAACCCUUAACCUACAACCCGAACCCCCAAGUGCCAAAUCCAAGAUGAAGGAUAACAAACGAUUCUACGUCGCGAGGCCUUGGAAAAUGGAUCACGGCACAGUCAACGACGAUGAGGCACCCAUAGAUCCCCGGCUUAAGAAUCGAACAUUCCCAGUAGAUCAAGAUUAUGAAGGUCACCGCGCGCACACCGUCUUCGUUGGCGUCCACAUCCCGGGGUCGUCGCGGCGGCACUCGCAGCGCCGCCGCCACAAACAGCACGCGUCGUCACAGUCCCAGGGCGCCGGCAGUGGCCGCGAAAAUGGCGACAAAAACUCCGGCGGCAGCGACGCCGAACGACCAGCCUCCCUUCCCAAGCCUCACGUUGUCACGCAGCGAAGAUUCAGCGUCGGCGUUGAUGACGGCGAGUUUUUUACACCACCCGCACAAAGAGUCCAGUUCAUCCUGGGGGGCGAAGUGGACGACAGCCAGCACGAGUCGCACCCACUGUUCUCCGAGAUGGAGGAGCUGGUCAAGGAGGGCGACGAGAUGGCCUGGAAGGAGACCGCCCGGUGGAUCAAGUUCGAGGAGGACGUCGAGGAGGGCGGCAAUCGGUGGUCCAAGCCGCACGUGGCCACCCUGUCGUUGCACUCGCUGUUUGAGCUGCGAUCGCUGCUGCUGAACGGGACCGUAAUGCUGGACAUGGAAGCGUCCGGGUUGGAGCAGAUCGCCGAGCUGGUGUGCGAGAACAUGGUCAAUGCUGGCACGUUGCCCAUCGAGGCCCGCGACAAGGUCAUCGAGGCGCUGCUCAAACGGCACAAACACCAGCACGAGUUUGCCGCCGGUGGGAGUAAAAAGUCCCGCCUGCCGUUGAUCCGAUCGUUGGCUGACAUUGGCAAGAACCAUUCGAGCUCGAAAAAUGACAUCUCGCCAACUCCAUCGCAUGGUGGUGCAAGUGCCACUGCAUCUGCCUCCGGUGGUGGUGGGGGUGGUGGUCCAUCAUCCAGCCUUGGAGUGACCACAUGGUUCCAUGCUGGCGCUUCAGCAUCCGGCGGUGCAUCGUCGUCGACGACAGCCACAACGGUUUUCCCAUUAUCAUCAAGAGUUGAGGAACAACAGCAACAGCUACACCAGCAACAACAACACCUUCCGAAUCAACAAUCGUCCAACAACGAUGGGAAGCAUUUGGCUGUGCCUGGAAAAGCUUCCGGGGAGAAUCUGAUCCAAAGUCCGAGCAACGUGUCGAUGGCGCGGAACACCAGCUCCGGUGAGCUGCAGAACGGCGAACACAAGACCAACACGCACUUUAUGCGCAAGAUUCCGGCCGGCGCCGAGGCCAGCAACAUCCUCGUCGGGGAGGUGGACUUUCUGGAUAAGACGUUGGCCGCGUUCCUGCGGCUCAGUAGUGCCGCCGUGAUGGGCGAUCUGACGGAGGUUCCCGUGCCGACCAGAUUCAUCUUCGUCCUGCUCGGCCCACCCGGAAGUCACACCAGCUUCCACGAGAUCGGCCGCGCCAUGGCCACCCUCAUGUCGGACGAGAUCUUCCACGAGGUGGCGUACCGCGCUAAAAAGCGCGAACACCUCCUGGCCGGAGUGGACGAAUUUUUGGACGCCGUAACGGUGCUUCCGCCGGGCGAGUGGGACCCGUCCAUCCGGAUAGAACCUCCGGCGGCGAUACCGUCCCAGGAGGUGCGCAAGCGACCCCCGGAGAAGAACCCAAAGGAGGAGAUCGACGAGGAGGAGGAGGAACAGCGCCAGCGCGAACAGAGCGGACUGUCGCGGAGUGGGCGGCUGUUUGGCGGGUUGGUCAACGAUCUGAAGCGCAAGAAGCCGUGGUACUGGUCGGACUUUAAGGACGGACUGAGCAUGAAGUGUAUCGCGUCUUGGAUUUUCCUGUACUUUGCCUGUCUGUCGCCGAUCAUCACGUUCGGGGGGUUGCUGGGUUCGGCCACCGGGAACAAUAUCGCCGCUAUGGAGUCGCUGGUGUCCGGAUUUGUGUGCGGCAUGGGGUACGGGUUCUUUUCCGGGCAACCGCUAACGAUUCUAGGGAGUACGGGCCCCGUGCUGGUGUUCGAGACGAUCGUGUACGAUUUCUGUACGCGAGUUGGCUGGGACUACCUGACCUUUAGAUUCUGGAUCGGGACGUGGAUAGCCAUCAUUCUGCUGAUCCUGGUGGCCGUCGAUGCGAGUGCUCUCGUGUGCUACAUUACGAGGUUCACCGAGGAGAACUUUGCCUGUCUGAUCGGGGUCAUCUUCAUCUACAAAGCGAUCGAGAACGUGAUCCUCAUCGGGGCGGACUUCCCCAUGAACACGUCGGGUGGCAAGCCGGACUGUUCGUGUAUACCGCCGGCCGGGGAUCCGCUGUCUCCGGAGGCGAUCCACGAUUGGGCACAGUACGACCGGAAGUCUUGUGUGCUUCUCAACGGAACGCUCGCCGGUAUGGACUGCGACAAGCCCGAGUACGUCUCGGACGUCUUCCUGAUGUCGUUCGUGCUGUUCGUGGGUACGUACAUCAUCUCGGUUAUUCUGAAGGACUUUAAGAACGCCCUGUUCUUCACCACGACCGUGCGCCAAUUCGUGAGCGAUUUCGCCGUCAUCAUUGCGAUCUUCUCGAUGACCCUGCUGGACUUUUUCUCCCGCGUGCCAACGCCCAAGCUGCAGGUUCCCAGUGAGUUCAAGCGGACCAUCCCGGAGCGCGGCUGGAUCAUUGAACCAUUCCACGAGAGCAACCCGGUGUGGUCGUCGGUGCUCGCCAUACUGCCCGCUCUGCUCGGUACCAUUCUGAUCUUUAUGGAUCAGCAAAUUACGGCUGUGAUUAUUAAUAGAAAGGAGCAUAAGCUAAACAAGGGCUGCGGCUACCAUCUGGAUCUGUUCGUGCUGGCAAUCCUGAUCCAGAUCUGCACGAUGAUGGGACUACCAUGGUUCGUCGCGGCUACCGUACUCAGUAUUAACCAUGUCAAUUCGCUGAAGCUGGAGUCGGAAACGGCCGCUCCCGGCGAGAAGCCCCAGUUCUUUGGCGUACUCGAGCAACGCGUUACCCACAUCUUGAUCUUCCUGACGAUCGGCUGCUCGGUGCUGCUGACGCCACUCCUCUCGCACAUUCCAAUGCCAGUAUUAUACGGCGUCUUUCUGUACAUGGGUGCAGCGUCCCUCAAGGGACUGCAAUUCUACGACCGGCUGCUGAUCAUGUUCAUGCCCGCCAAGUACCAACCCGACUACAUGUUCUUGCGACAGGUACCCAUCAAGCGAGUCCACAUGUUCACCCUCAUUCAGCUGGGCUGCUUCAUCAUGCUGUGGGUGAUCAAGUCCUUCUCGAGCACAUCGAUCUUGUUCCCUCUGAUGCUGGUCGUCAUGAUCGGCAUCCGCAAGUCGCUCGAUCUGUUGUUCACCCGGCGCGAGCUGAAAAUCCUGGACGACGUCAUGCCCGAGAUGACAAAGCGGGCCCACGCCGACGACCUGCGGCAGCUCGACGAUGGCGAGGAUUCGGGCCGACAUUCGGCCGACAAUCUGCAGCUGCCGCUGGAAAAUGGAGCGCUCGUGGUCGGGGGUAAAAACGGCAAAAUCAACAUAUCGGAAGAGGUCAACCGCACGACCAUCUGGAAGCAGGUCAACAGCAACUGCAACAUCCUGUUCACCAAAAAGCAGACCAACGUCCCACCGCCAGUACCAACCGGAAACCUCAGUAGAACCAGCCCCAACAAUCAAAACAACACCAAUCAGCAAACGCAACAACAAUCACUGUCCACGAUGCGGGAGGAGGAAGAGACGAACCCGCCGGACCUGGAUCCGGCCAACAAGCGUCAAUUAAGCAGCCACCAGAAACGAACACAGGUCUAACCUAGAAACGAAAUCCUCCGUACUGUUUGCCAGACACCAACCGAGAAAAGAGCGAAAACUAGACAACUUUUGACCAAGAAAUUACUCAAAAGAACCCCCCAAAUACAAACCCCCCCCCCCCUUAGCUAACCAUCAAUUAGGUGUGAAGACCCCCGUUGUCCGUACACGUAAGCUAAAGCGCGAGUUCUGGAUGAGUCUGGAUUCGCCGAACGAUGCGGCAGAACGAGGAACCGCCAGCAGACGACGUCGGGCUUCCGAGACGCAGGUGUAACAAAAAAACGUUCAAGUUUGGUGUUUUUGUUGAGGGACGACGCAGUUGUUGAACAGCUCAAAAUGUUUCGAAAGGUUUGUAAGAGGCGAGCGAAAAUGUGAACUGGAAAGAGCGCGUAUUUUUAGGAAUCAAAUAUAUUGUACUAGUGACUCUCACUCUUAUACCACAAGCAAAAGAAAUGUAACUUUUUUUCGUUUCUAGAGAAUGAAGAACACAAGCAAAUCUCAAUUAUUGAAUUUUUCGAUAAACUGAUGAAGCAAACAGAUAAAACUCCCAAUUGUAAAGUUUGAGCCUGAUAUUAUGGAAUAAACAAUACAAAAAUGUU